rnacentral:rRNA from 1 species
GCUGGCGGCAGGCUUAACACAUGCAAGUCGAGCGGUAGCACAGGGGAGCUUGCUCCCUGGGUGACGAGCGGCGGACGGGUGAGUAAUGUCUGGGAAACUGCCUGAUGGAGGGGGAUAACUACUGGAAACGGUAGCUAAUACCGCAUAACGUCGCAAGACCAAAGAGGGGGACCUUCGGGCCUCUUGCCAUCAGAUGUGCCCAGAUGGGAUUAGCUAGUAGGUGGGGUAAUGGCUCACCUAGGCGACGAUCCCUAGCUGGUCUGAGAGGAUGACCAGCCACACUGGAACUGAGACACGGUCCAGACUCCUACGGGAGGCAGCAGUGGGGAAUAUUGCACAAUGGGCGCAAGCCUGAUGCAGCCAUGCCGCGUGUGUGAAGAAGGCCUUCGGGUUGUAAAGCACUUUCAGCGAGGAGGAAGGUGGUGAGCUUAAUACGCUCAUCAAUUGACGUACUCGCAGAAG